rnacentral:rRNA from 1 species
GAUGAACGCUGACAGAAUGCUUAACACAUGCAAGUCUUUGGCGAAGCUGUGCUUGCACAGCCUAGCCAAGGCGGACGGGUGAGUAACGCGUAAGGAACUUGCCCUGCAGUCAGGGAUAACAGACGGAAACGACUGAUAAGACCUGGUAAAGUCAGGCGGACUCAUGUCCAGCCUGAUGAAAAGAGAUGCUGCAGGAGAGCCUUGCGUCCUAUUAGCUUGUUGGUGGGGUAACGGCCCACCAAGGCGAUGAUAGGUAGCCGGCCUGAGAGGGUGGACGGCCAAAAGGGGAAGGAGAAACGGCCCUUAAUCCGACGGGAGGAAGAAGGGGGGAAUAUGGGAAAAGGGGGGAAAACUUGAUCCAGAAAUUCUGUGUGGACGAUGAAGGUUUUGGGAUUGAAAAGUGCUUUCAGAAGGGAAGAAAAAAAUGACGGUACCGGCAAAAGAAGCGACGGCUAAAUACGG